GACGAACGCUGGCGGCGUGCUUAACACAUGCAAGUCGAACGGAAAGGCCCUGCUUUUGUGGGGUGCUCGAGUAGCGAACGGGUGAGUAACACGUGAGUAACCUGACCUUGACUUUGGGAUAACUUCAGGAAACUGGGGCUAAUACCGGAUAGGAGCUCCUGCUGCAUGGUGGGGGUUGGAAAGUUUCGGCGGUUGGGGAUGGACUCGCGGCUUAUCAGCUUGUUGGUGGGGUAGUGGCUUACCAAGGCUUUGACGGGUAGCCGGCCUGAGAGGGUGACCGGCCACAUUGGGACUGAGAUACGGCCCAGACUCCUACGGGAGGCAGCAGUGGGGAAUAUUGCACAAUGGGCGGAAGCCUGAUGCAGCAACGCCGCGUGCGGGAUGACGGCCUUCGGGUUGUAAACCGCUUUCGCCUGUGACGAAGCGUGAGUGACGGUAAUGGGUAAAGAAGCACCGGCUAACUACGUG
rnacentral:rRNA from 1 species